rnacentral:rRNA from 1 species
UACGGAAGGCAGCAGUGGGGAAUAUUGCACAAUGGGCGCAAGCCUGAUGCAGCCAUGCCGCGUGUAUGAAAAAGGCCUUCGGGUUGUAAAGUACUUUCAGUCGUGAGGAAGGUGUUAAGGUUAAUAACCUUAGCAAUUGACGUUAGCGACAGAAGAAGCACCGGCUAACUCCGUGCCAGCAGCCGCGGUAAUACGGAGGGUGCGAGCGUUAAUCGGAAUUACUGGGCGUAAAGGGCACGCAGGCGGUUAAUUAAGUUGGAUGUGAAAUCCCCGGGCUUAACCUGGGAAUGGCAUUCAAGACUGGUUAGCUAGAGUCUUGUAGAGGGGGGUUAGAAUUCCAUGUGUAGCGGUGAAAUGCGUAGAGAUGUGGAGGAAUACCGGUGGCGAAGGCGGCCCCUGGACAAAGACUGACGCUCAUGUGCGAAAGCGUGGGGAGCAAACGAGGGAUUAGAUACC